AAUCAGAGCAAGUUGUAGCCAAUUUUACAAAUUCAGGGUUGUGGUACGCACGGACAGCUCAGAUACAGGGGCAGUAGGAGUGAUGGGAGGACUUGGCCACACUGGCGAUGCCCUAGGCUCGAGUAGGGGAGCAGCCACCACCACUGAGGCCAGAGGAUGGGGAAGCUGUGCCCCUAGAUGCUCUGUGACUUUCCUGGUGUCGUUCACAACUCAAAAAGUCAUGAGAAAGUACUGGAGAACUAAAAAGUAGGAAUGUUUACAAACUCACAGCAUUUUAUUUUUCAUACAUUUAAGUUAAAUUUAUUUUAAAAUCAGUUUAUAUUUAUUUUAAAUUAAGUAAUUUAAAAUCUUGUAUUUUAAAAAUAGUUUUAUGGGAAGUUCCCUGGUGGCCUAGUGGUUAAGGAUACAGCUUUUUUCGUUUGUGUGUUUGCUUGUUUUUUGUGGGUUUUUUUUGUUUUAUCUUUUUAAGGGCUGUUCCUGUGGGAAAUGGAAAUUCCCAAGCUAAGGCUAGAAUUGGAGCUUCAGCUGCCAGCCAAACCACAGCCACAGCAACGAUGGACCCUUAACCCACUGAACUAGGCCAGGGAUCAAACCCACAUUGUCAUGGAGACUAGUCAGGUUCAUAACCUACUGAGCCACAACAGGAACUCCCAAGGAUCCAGCAUUGUUACCAGUGAGGUUCAGAGUCACUGUUGUGGCAUUGAUUGGUUCAGUCCCUGGCCUGAGAACUUAGACAUGCCCAGGGCGGGGCCAAAAAUAAUAAGAAAAAAAUAGUAUCCAUCUUUCAGGUAGAUACGAAAUGGUGGCUUUUACACCUUUGUGUACACCUGUCACAGUAACACCUGUCAUAUCUAGGCUUACUAUGUCCCUGAUGCUUUGUAUAGUCUACUCAAGGAUGAUAUAAUUAUACAGAGAAUAUAACAGAGAUGGUGUAUUGAAUGGAAUAUAGUCUUCUCAUUUUCCCUGUUUUAAAGCUCAGCAAAGCAUUCUGUAGAAAAAACAAAAUUGCCCUAAAUUGAAGAGGGGUUAGAGAAAAAACUAAGGAGGUACCCAGUUAAAUUUACUGGUCACCUGAGAAGGCAAGAAUAACCCACAGAAGAAAAUGCAGCCAGGCUGUAGUUUGCAAACAGUUUUUCUGGCACAGCUACUUUAAGCUUAUUACAUUAAUCACUUUUACUAACAACUGUCAAGGCAAGUGAUACCCCUAACAUUGUGCAGGAUACUGGGUGGGAGUAAGAAAUGUAGAAGUGCCCUUGCUCUGGGCAGUCAAUUAAUCACAAACAUUUAAGUGGCCAUCAGUUCUAAGGCCCUGGGUGAGUACAUGUGGGGAAGGGUAAAAUGUUGUUGACUUUUUGAUGAUGACCAUUCUACUGAUGUGAGGUGAUGCCUCAUUGUAUGUUUGAUUUGCUUUUCUCUAAUAACUAGUGAAGUUGAUCAUCUUUUCAUAUGUUUUUUGGCUGACUUUAUACCUUCUUUGAAGAAACAUCCAUCAAUUAGGUCCUCUGCUCAUUUUUUGAUUGGUUUGUUUGCUCCUUAGUACUGAGUGUCAUGAGUUUGCAUGUUCCCUUGCUGGUCACUUAAUUUGCAAAUCUUGUCUCCCAGUGUGUGGGCUGGCUUUUCAUUUUGUUUAUGGUUUCCUUUGUUGUGGAAAAGCUUUUCUGUUUUCUAUUUAUGGCUGCACCUGAGGCAUAUAGAGUUCCUUGGGCUAGGUGUCAAAUCAGAGCUGCAACCACAGCAACAGCAAAAACAGGUCUGAGCCUUUUCUGUGACCUACUGUGAAGCUUGUGGCACCUGCAGAUCCUUAAUCCACUGGGUGAGUCAGGGAUCUAAACCACGAGGCCACAGUGGAAACUCCUUGUGCAAAAUCUUUAAGUUUAAUUAGUCCUAUUUGUUUGUUUUUGAUUUUAUUUUCAUUACUCUAGGAAGUGGAUCUGAAAGGAUAUUGCUGCAAUUGAUGUCAAAGAGUGUUCUGUAUGUUUUGUUCUAGGAGUUUUACAGUAUCUGGUCUAACAUGUAGGUCUUUAAUUCAUUUUGAGUUUAUUUUUGUGUAUGGUGUUAGAGAGUGUUUUGAUUUCAUUUGUUUACAUGUAGCUGUCCAGUUUUCCCAUCACCAUUUCUUGAAGAGACUGUCUUUUCUCCAUUUUAGAGUCUUGUCACCUUUGUUGUAUAUUAACAGACUGUAGGAGUGUAGGCUAACUUCUGGCCAAUCUAUCCUGUCCCAUUAAUCUAUAUUUCUGUUUUUGUGCCAGUAGCUUACUAUUUUGGUGAUUGUAGCUUUGUAGUAUAGUCCGAGGUCAGAGAAUCUGAUUCUUCCAGUUCCAUUUUUCUUCCUCAUGAUUGUUUUUUCUUUCUCAUGAUUUUUCUAUUGAGGGUCUUUUGUAUUUCCAAAUAAAUUUAAUUUUUUGGUUCUAGAAUUAUCUUAACGAACUGGUGAAAAGGAAAUAGAUAAGAAAAUACCAGCAAAUAUGUUAAAAUUAAUUUUAGCCCCUCGUGGGAAAGAGUGAAAUAUCAUCCACCUUCUUUUCUGAGAAUAAAAAACUUCUGGUUCAAGAAUGUUAGGUGGGUAAAAUAAGAAAAGAUAUUCAGGGAUUUCCAAAAAGACUCUGCAUGCGAAACAAGAAAAAUAUAAGUAAAACAACCAGGAGGCAUGUUAAUGAUUAAAAAAUCCUAUAAUAUAUUUAUCUAAUAACCAAGGAUGCCUACUAUAAUUGGGUUGAUUAUAGAAGUCUUAUGUACAUAAUGCAGAGCUUUAAGAAUUAUUGCAUAAAAAGCCUCAGUGAUGUAAAACUUUGAUUACGUCGAGACUGGAUGCAGGACGUGAGAGAGAGAAGUGGAGAAUGAUGUCAGGCACUUUACCCUGAGAACCUGGACAUACAGAGUUACCAUUAACUGACUAAGGAACAGAGAUAAAGGACAGGUUCUGCUGAUUGAUUAUGUUUGCUUUUGUGUGUUUUUAAGGAGAUUUUAAUUUUAAUUACCUAAAUUUGAGAUGCUUACUAGAUACCAAACUGUCAAAUAAGCAUUUGAGUAUGUGAUUCCAGAAUUUGUCUUUGAAAUAUACUGGCAUCAAGAGUGUUUUUAAACUAGGACAGAACACAAACUAGUUCAUGAGUUUGAACUGAAAAGAGUUCUGGGCCCGGAACACAGGAAAACCACAUUUUAUGUCACAAAUGAAACUCAGAAUGGGCACCAGGAAGGUUGGAGGGACACAGUGUGAGUGUGGGAUCUGAGAUCUAGUCGAGGACCUAAAGACUAUCAUGCAGAAUUUCCCAUCCCAGGAUCAAACCAACACCACAGCAGUGACAACACCAGAUCCUAAAUCCACUGAGACCAUCAGGGAACUCCCAAUAGUGGAGUUCUUUAAAUAAGUAAGAAAGUGACAAUGCAAAGCUGUAGCAGCAUUUGUUGUGGAAAGGAAAUUCAGAGAAGAAACUUGAAUUUCCAGUGGAUGUGAUGGGAAAGGCUGUCUCCUGUCCUCAUGAGCUGGUCUUGAAGCUAAAGUCUCAGCUCCACAUCUGAUCUCAGCUCUGCUCUGUGAUGCUGGGGCUCCACUGCCAUCCACCACAUUUCUCCUCUGCCAGUAGGUUUAUUUCCUUUUAAAGUGCUUCCAUACAAGUCCCAAGAGAUGGGCUAGAAGGCUUGAGGAAAUUUUCUGUUUUCCUGACUGGGCUGUGACUGAAAACAGUGACCAUCAAUAGGAAAAGGACAACUAGUGGAUCUUCUAGAUGCUAUUUGUCACCUAUCAGGUUGGCAGAAACUAAGAAGGAGUGAUGAGAUCCUGUUUUGGUCAAUGCCUAGAAACAUAUAUAAACGUAUACACUCUCAAAUAUGAUUAAUAUAGUCAUUGUCAUCGUGGACAGUUGGCAGUAUAUGUUUGCAAUAUGUGUGUAUUUUGACCAAGAAAUUUUGCUUCAUGACACCUUCUUCAGAGAAAGACUCUCCCUUGGAUAUAAGACACCUGCAUGAUAACUGUAGCAACUUAUUUUUUAAACUUAAAAACAACUAAGAAAAUGUCAACUAGACAAUGUGGGCAAAUGAAAGAGAAAGGAAAACAGAGCAAGAAGCAGACCAGUGAAAGAGUUUCUUGUUGCACCCAUCUCAUGUGGAGCAGAUCUUGGCCCCUGUGUGUGUGUCUCUGGAGGAAAGAUCAGAUCUGGAAACCAGAUGUGACUUGUUAUGUGACCCAAGUCAGGACAUUCUUCUCUUCUCAGCCACCAGCUCCCUUUGGGUGAGCGUCGUUGGCCACAGGAGCGUAAGGACGGUCCCUGUCCUGAAGGUCACCUCCUCUGGGUUCUCUAGUCCUGGAUUUGCAUCUAUUUGGUUACUCAUCUUCUCUUAACUUCACGGUGAGAAUCUCGAAUGAAAAGAUGACUGUACAUCUUAUGUAUUAAUUUUGCAAUGAAAAGCAACCAGGUCCCCCAUCACACCACAUGUCACCAGCUUCCCAGGACGAGGUGAGUCUUUCCAUCAGAUAUUUACAUGGGCCACUCUUUGCUGACUGAAUAUAAAUCAGGUCCACCCAUGACAGAAGCACUAACAGUUUUCCAUGAUUUCCAAGGCUUCUCUCCAUUCCAUGGAGUUCCACUUUUUGACAAGCAUUUCCUGUAAAAUAGUGGGACUAUUCCAUAGGACUAAAGGAACAAAUAUUCUGAGAUUUAUAUAAAAAAUAAGGAUUUUGUUUUGCAGAAUUAAAAAAACUCAAGAAGUUUUCUUUGGUAACUAUUUUAUAAAUAAAAUGAAAGACUGGGAAUCUGGGGGUUAAUAGAUGCAAACUAUUGCCUUUGGAAGGGUAAGCAAUGAGAUGCUGUUGUAUAGCACUAGGAACUAUAUCUAGUCACUUAUGAUGGAGGAUAAUGUGAGAAAAAGAAUGUAUGUAUGACUGGGUCACUUUGCUGUACAGUACAAAUUGACAGAGCACUGUAAACCAACUAUAAUGGAAAAAGUAAA
rnacentral:lncRNA from 1 species